GGGGUCGUAGCUCAGUUGGUAGAGCAUCCCGUUCGCACCGGGAAGGCCAGCGGUUCGAUUCCGCUCGGCUCCACCA
rnacentral:tRNA from 1 species